GUUGGGGACAAACAUUUUUUUAAAAGACACACCUCUUUGGUCCAGAGAGAACGAGCUUGUGUGGGGCUUAGAUGUUACAUAUGUACAGGCAUGAGUUUAAAAUCACAUUUAAGCGUGUCAUCUACAGAUAUAAAUAAUGUAAUAAAUGUGGCAUCUGGAGCGAAAGGUGAAGAGGAAGCACCGUAUAUAAAAAGCAUAUCAGGACCAAAACCAAGGUGUGAAAGAAAGGAGGAGCAGACCGGGGUCACAUCCAGAAGGUCCUCACUUUUUCAAAAAGUCUUCACUCCAUGGUUGUACACAUCUCCAUUACUUUCACUGUGAUUGAAAUAAAUGUUUAGGCGCUUUCUUGGCACCCAAACAAGCGUGGACUUUGUGCAGCAGCACAGCGUUAUGAGUGUGUCUCCAUCCAUUGUCUAAUAAAGUUAGGCGGGCGCUCACGAGUGCCACUCACAGAGAUACGCUAGUUUUUCUGUUGCUGUUUUUUUGCAAUCUCAGUGUUCUGCUGCACCUCUGACAGUCACUACAGGACAUAGAUAUGAAGGAAUCUCAGCAUUGUGUCAAGUAGUUGAGUUUUUCUUUUCUUAUAGGUUUUAUAUUCUGUUUUUAACUGACGAUUGCACAAUUUUUUUUUUACCCCUCUUAUGAUCACAAAUAUAAAUUCUGCAUUGUUUAUAUUUUCUGUGUCCGUGUGUUUCAGUAGUAAGUACUACUUCCUACUUAUUAUUGUUUAUAUUUUAUAUAUGCUUUUAUGUUAACCUCUUGAUAACCAGCUUCCAAUUUAGCUCAUACAUUAGGAUAAAUAAGUAACUUUGAUACUAGACAAAGAAAAAUUGAACUCUACCUCAUCUGUCAUUAAUCUAGAAUCUCAUUUCUAAAGGCAGGCAUCAAGUAAAAAAAAGUGUGAUAGUAUUGGUUUGAAAACACAACAUGUUAGAUGUUGAAAGUGAUCAAUUGUAUUGAGUUCUAAAAAUGACCGGGAAGAUUGGGAUUAGAAAUGAGUACAUCAGGACGGCUCAGCUAGAGAUAGAGUUCAAAGGAAAGCUCAAAAUGGUCUGGGCAUGUGGAAAGUAUGUAGCAGAUCAAGCCGACAGGCAGGUUGCUGGGGAUAGGGUGAGGUGGAAGCAGAUGAUCUGCUAUGGUGACCCCUAAAGGCAGCAGGUGGAAGAGCUGAGGAGACAAGUGACAUAAAGCAAAUGUUGCUCAUUCGUGCCUGAUAAAGGAUUUCGAGGGUUUCAGCUGCUUGACUCCUUCUGUCAUAUUUUUGCUUCAUAGUGCACCAGAUGUUUUCAAUGGGUAGGUGAGGGAUUGUGACUGAUUGCAUGGCCUCACUGAAAACAAUCAAGGCCUUCACAGAGGCAGUUUAUACAUCCAGUGUGCGCUGAUGUGCCCCAUACUAUCACGGGUACUGCCUUUAACUGUGCUCUGAUAACAAGCCAAAUGAUUCCUCUACUCUCCAACAGCAAGGACACAAAGUCCAUGAUUUUCAAACACAAUAUCAGCAAAGAGAGACCAAAGAGUUUACACUUUGCCUCAGUCCAUCUUAUAUGAGGUCAGUCCAGAGGAGAGCUCAGAGUUUCUGGAUCAUGUUCAUGUAUGCCUCUAUGUCUCUGUAUGGUGGAAUUUCACCUCACAUUUGUGGAUGCAGCAAAAAAAGUUUACUGACUGUGACUUUCUGAAUAAUACUAAGAUGGGAUUUCCACUUCAGCAUCAUGUUUAAGAUCAGCAUUGUUUUUUGUUCUUCUUUACGCAGAGAUUUACUGAAUCGUUUAAUGAUGCUGUUUAGAUGACGAAAUUCCCACAUUCUUGGCCAUUUUAUUUCAAGAACCAUUAUUUUUAAAGUGUUAUUUUUCAUUCUGUAAGACCCAACAAUGACACUAACUGUAUACUGAGUUAUGGUAAUUAUUUCACCUCAUUAACCUCAUGAAUCAUGAGAUUUUCCGUUGGCUUUUGGCAGUGAAUUCAACAUAUUCUUAUGAUGAUUGUAUGAUUGAUGUAUAUAUAGAUAGAUAUAUAUGAACCUGUCCUCUGGUUACUGUAAGGUUUUUUUCUUGCACUAACCUGAACACUCAAAAGUGAAACGUAAUAAAAGAUGGCAGAAUUUGAUUACUCCAAUAAAAGGAAACUCUGAAACAUCAAAGUACAAAGUGUGAGUAAAUGUCAGCAUUUUAGCCUUUCUGAUAUGUCUCCUUCUUCUUUUAGCCUUUUUUUUUUACAUUUAAUUAAAAUAUUGAUGAUAUUUUAACUUUCAUUAAUAACUUUAACCUCACAAUUAGUUAAAAACACUAAACUGGUCAUUUAAUGAUUAUUCAAAGCAACCCUACCUCAUGGCUCUAAGCAUAUCUGUCCGAGAAGAAAAAUAAACCACCUGAGGUCUAUACUGCCCUCUAGUGGGGAAUAAAGGAAGGGGUUUUUUGUUUGUUUUUUUACAGUUUUGAGCAUUUCAUUUUUAUUUUUAUGUAUUUUAAUUUGUUUAGUGAACAUUUGAUGUACUGAUGGGCUGUAACAAUCCCAUUUUUGAGAUUUAUAGAAAAAUAAAUCUUUACUGUUCACCAGUGUAAUCAUUAUAGUUUGAUCUAAAAAUAAAUAAAUAAAUAAAAAUAUUUAAAACAAUAAUAAUAAUAAUAAUAAUAAUAAUAAUAAUAAUAAUAAUAAUAAUAAUAAUAAUAAUAAUAAUAAUAAUAAAUGAAGGGCCGCUUUCCAAAUGUAGAAUGUAAAGUAGAAUGUAAAGUUUUAUUAGUAAAGCCGAACAGUGAUCAAAAACACUGAUCCAUUACAGAGCCUAUAGGCUACCUUAGGGCUGAUCCAGUUUGGAGUCACUGAUAGAGUCACUCAGGUGAUCUUCAGUGGAAAAUAUUUUGAGGUUCAGUUGCUUUAAAUUGUUUCAGAUUAUUCAGUGACUGAAUCUGUGAACAAUCUGUGAAGAUUAGUCUCACCUUCACUCAAAUAUUCCCAUCAUAUCCAAGAUCGAGCUGUGACAGACAUUUUUCCAUCACCAUCAGUAUGUGGUGCGUCUAAAGUUUUACACAGACGAGUUUGACUGAAAC
ensembl:lncRNA